rnacentral:rRNA from 1 species
AUGAAUGGCCGCGGUACCCUGACCGUGCUAAGGUAGCGUAAUCAGUUGGCUUUUAAAUGGAGUCAGGAAUGAAUGGAAUAACCGGGUUUAGCUGUCUCCUUCCCAAUUAGUUGAAUUUACUGUUCAAGUGAAAAAGCUUGAAUAAAGAAAAGGGACGAGAAGACCCUUAGAAUUUUUUUUAGUGGGAAAUUUUUUCCUAAUGAUUUUGUUGGGGCGACAUGGAAAUAUAUAAAAACUUUCCUUUAAUACUUGCCGAUUUUGUUAAGAUGGAAUAAAUUACCUGAGGGAUAACAGCAUAAUUCUAUAGAUGAGUUUGUG